UAGUAAGCCUCGGUGUUUUGUAGUUUGAUACUUGAUUUUAGAUAGCUAGAAUACAGUCAAUUGUGAUACUAACAAACCCAAUUCAAAUAACCAGUCUUUUCCCAUGUUCGAAUCCACCUCUAUUAAUUCAAUUGCUUUGGUAUACUAAAGCUUGAACACAACGAGAACAACAUUUUUGGUGCCACUGUCGAGGAAAUGAUAACAAUAUGAAAUGUUAGAAAUUGAUUGUAUGGGAGAUGGAAUUAUAUGUUGAAUGAG
rnacentral:lncRNA from 1 species